CUGCCACAGUUGUGCAACAGUUGUGUGUGUGGGGGUGUUGCCAUGUCAUGUUCAGGUACUGACUGAAAACUGGAGGCCUCUAAGUAGUCAGACAUUGCAGUAAACUUAGCACAACAACUGACAGGAAGACACAACACGCAGAAAUAAGCAUUGUGGGGCUGCCUCCAGCGUCAUUUCAGAGAUUUUGGAAGUUCGUCCAACAGGCCUCAAAACCGCAGACCACGUGUAACCACGCCAGCCCAGGACCGCCACAUCUGACUUCUUCACCUGCGGGAUCGUCUGAGGCCAGCCACACGGACAGCUGAUGAAACCGUUGGUUUACACAACCGUAGAAUUUCUGCACAAACUGUCAGAAAUCGCCUCAGGGAAGCUCAUCUGUGUGCUCGACAUCCUCACCAGGGUCUUGAUUUGCCUGCGGAUUGAUGUAACAAUCGAAGUGAGUGGGCAGGAGCUUACUGGCACUCUGGAGAACAGUCUUCUUCACUAAUUAACUGUUUUAUUUUUAUUUUUACUGCUGCUCGUUGUUUCCUUGUAUUGACCCAUGUAUGUUGAUCUGUUGCCUCUGACAUAUAACUACCUUGUCUGUGAGUUUUGGAGUUGUGUGUAUGGACUGAGUAAGCUGCAAAUGAAUUGCCCUUCUUGGGAUCAAUAAAGUUGUCUGAUUCUGAAUCUGA